GUCCCACCAGAUCCACCAAAUAAACCAAUCAGAAUACCAACUCCGCCACCAAUGGUAACAAAGAUAAACCCAUCACCACCAAAAAUGGGCAAAACCCAAAUAAAUCCCCCACUACCGACAAUCCAAACAACAUAGAAAAAUUCAAUUCCUCUAAGAAAAAAGACACUGACGCUGAAUAAGAUAAGGAGAAAAUUCAAUUGGUUGAAGAAAUCAACUAUGAAGGUAUUAAUCAACUUUCAAAAGAAGAAGAAGAUACCUUGAAUAAUCACCAAACAUAAUAGAAAGCUGAAGCAAAAACCAACCCCAUCAAUCAUUAUCCUAUUUCAAAAGACUCUUUCCCAAAGAUAUUGUCUAAUUUUGACAAAUCCAAAGAAUGCAAUGCCAACAAAGAAAAAGGUCAGAUAAAACCUAACGACAAAGACAUAAAGGUGAAGCAAAACCUACACUAACGAGAAACAAGAAUCAAGCAGAAUGACCGAUAUCCAAACCAACAUUUGCUGCUGCAGUAGGAAUUAAACUUGCAGAGGAUGCCAAGAAUAUUAC
rnacentral:lncRNA from 1 species